rnacentral:lncRNA from 1 species
AAAGUAUCAAGAAUGAGCUCACUAUUCAGGUGACUUCACUUCAUGCUGCAUUAGAACAAGAAAGAUCUAAAGUGAAAGUAUUACAAGCAGAGUUAGCCAAAUACCAGGGUGGCAGAAAAGGGAAAAGAAACUCUGAAUCCGACCAGUGUAGGUGAUUACAUUAGCCUUUGAAGUCAACACAAAGUUUAAAACUUCCAGGAUUUUGCAAAGUUGUAUAUAUUUAAUGCUGUGCAACUGCUAAACUAUGCAGUUUUUCUUGAAGGAACUAAAAGCAACUAGCUCCCUAAUGGUCUAUAAUUUUAUUUCUUUUGGCUUAAAGUGAAAAAGAAGAAAUAGAGAAUUCCAGCAGAAUUCAGUGGUUGUCUACUAUCCAUACUUCUUAUCACUUUAGUUUUUCAUCAGUCAAUAAAAUUAAUUUACUCUUCCA